rnacentral:rRNA from 1 species
ACUCCAGUGGCUGGGGUAAGACCCAGUCUUUUCAGAACUCUUCAAAGGUUUUAGAAUAAGGGGUGGGUAAGGACGGUGCCAGCCGCCGCGGUAAUACCGGCGCCUCAAGUGGUAGUCGCUUUUAUUGGGCCUAAAACGUCCGUAGCCGGUUUGGUACAUUCGUGGGUAAAUCAACUCGCUCAACGAGUUGAAUUCUGCGAGGACGGCCAGACUUGGGACCGGGAGAGGUGUGGGGUACUCUCAGGGUAGGGGUAAAAUCCUGUCAUCCUGAGAGGACCACCUGUUGCGAAGGCGCCACACUAGAACGGAUCCGACGGUCAGGGACGAAGCCUAGGGGCACGAACCGGAUUAAAUACCCGGGUAGUCCUAGGUGUAAACGCUGUGGACUUGAUGUUGGAGGAGCUCCGAGCUCUUUCAGUGUCGAAGCGAAGGUGAUAAGUCCACUGCCUGGGAAGUACGGUCGCAAGGCUGAAACUUAAAGGAAU